rnacentral:rRNA from 1 species
GUAGGGAAUCUUCGGCAAUGGGGGCAACCCUGACCGAGCAACGCCGCGUGAGUGAAGAAGGUUUUCGGAUCGUAAAGCUCUGUUGUAAGAGAAGAACGAGUGUGAGAGUGGAAAGUUCACACUGUGACGGUAACUUACCAGAAAGGGACGGCUAACUACGUGCCAGCAGCCGCGGUAAUACGUAGGUCCCGAGCGUUAUCCGGAUUUAUUGGGCGUAAAGCGAGCGCAGGCGGUUAGAUAAGUCUGAAGUUAAAGGCUGUGGCUUAACCAUAGUACGCUUUGGAAACUGUUUAACUUGAGUGCAGAAGGGGAGAGUGGAAUUCCAUGUGUAGCGGUGAAAUGCGUAGAUAUAUGGAGGAACACCGGUGGCGAAAGCGGCUCUCUGGUCUGUAACUGACGCUGAGGCUCGAAAGCGUGGGGAGCAAACAGGAUUAGAUACCCUGGUAGUCCACGCCGUAAACGAUGAGUGCUAGGUGUUGGGUCCUUUCCGGGACUCAGUGCCGCAGCUAACGCACUAAGCACUCCGCCUGGGGAGUACGACCGCAAGGUUG